CAAAAAGAAACACAUUUAUAUGAGGAGACGCUGCAGUAGAAAACUGUCCAGGCUGCAAGAAUUUCUGGAGGCCUUCAUCUCUUCUCAAAGCACACACUCGCCAGAAUAUUAACACUAUGUGGAUUUUAUCCAAACCCUAAAAAGGAAACGCUGUCAGAAAACGUGUGAUAGUAAAACCUGAUCUCUGCAGGGGGAGAGAAAAGGAAAGGCAGGAGCACUCCAGGCAACAUUAAUUAGGGAUAAUUAAUAUUUUCCUGAAAAUUGAAGGGGGGGGAUAAAGAUGCUCACCCUCAGCUUCAGUGUGAGGGGAUAGACACAAGGGGAACCCACACAGUAUUAGGCAGGUCGUUACUGCUGCCUUGUCAUCUUAAGGCGAAAGAGGUCGAAUACAUUUCCAAAGUAAACCAACUUUGUUCUGUGCUUUUGUGGGAACUUCAAAUGUGUUCUGACACUAAAGGGAGACUGUCAUUCAGUUCCCCUGACUGCAAUACUGAGAUGGCAACAAUCAAAACUAAAGCCUCUUUUCUCCCUGCAAAGUCUUUCCUUGACUAAAAGAAAAUCAGCACUGCCUUCCUCACCAGCUCAGCUUCUGGAGGAAUUCACUGUCUGCUGUUUGGCUGAUGUCAGGUCGGGUCACCUGCGAGUCUGCUGAGAUUCCCGAAGCCCACGAUGUUCACCUGUCUGCCCUCACACUGGAACCUCCUGAGCAGAGCUGCAGAGUGCAGCAUCCUUGCUGAUCAUUCCUGAGUGGCUGUUUGCCGACAGGGAUCAGCUGAGGAGGUGGCUGGUGGCAGGUGGAUGGGUGGGGCUGUUGGCACCACAGAAAAACAUUUGCAGUGUGCAUCAGGACGCUUGACAACAUGAAGAGACCAAAAGAUUUUUCUCUCAUCCUCCCACCUUGCACCGCACACUCAGCGAGAGCUUCCACCUUUUCUGACACCCUGAGGAUUCUCUGAAAGAGCCAUAUGUCUCCUCUGCGUUGUCACAGCAACAGUUUCAUGCAUUUUCCCUUAUCAUGCAAAUGAACCGGAGAGUCAGACCUGCUGCCCUGCGGCGAAAAUGCAAGAGCUGACCAGUUGCCUCAUGCACACAUACUGUCUGGGCCUCACAAGUAAAGCAGGUGUUCAGUUUGCAACUUGCAUAUCCUCUUCUCCAGAGGAGUUCAUGUGAUCAGAUUGAAACCUGCUAUUGUAACUUUAAAUGAUCAGAUUUGCCAGUGAAGCAUUUACAUGUUUCAGCUUUUGGUUACAAGCUGGUUUUUCUUAUUGUUCUUUUGAUGUAGUCAGACAGUGAAACAGCCUAUAUAACCAUAUAUAACCUAUGUUUUUUUUAAAUACAGAUUAAGCUGCUUUAUCCUGCCCCACAGUUCAACCCAAAGCCACUUUGCAACCCGCAUGCACCCCAGCAUCUCCAUCCAUGCUGUUCCUGAGUUAAUCAGUGUCAUAUCUGGUGUCACUGUUGCCUGCACUGGUCUUGCUGCUUCUCUUGCUUUCGUUGUCUACGUGUGGAAGGGCAGGCAGGUCCCAGAACAGAGCCAUAAAACCAUACCCAAACUAAUAGAGGUGAAAAUAAUCUUCUUUCUCAAAGCUUGCAAAUUUAUUCCCCGUUUUAAUAUGUUUUUAGUUUUUCUCUAAAACUUGCUCAUUAACCUUCAUUCAAUCCUGGCAGAAAAGCAAACGAAUAUUCUUGUGAGCUGUGAGUAACAGCUGCAAAAGCUGUGCAUUUGUUGGCUUUUUGUAUAUAGAUACAGUGGAUACAUAUACAACUGUAUUAUCGGCAUACAUCUGACAACUUGUUUCAAGCCACGAAGCAGCUGAGAAGAAGGCCAAGGACAAAAUGCUGUAAAAUUCCUCUCUUAAAAAACAAAAACAGUAUCUUAUUGUUUAUGUUUGGAAAUGUGGGAUUUUUCUGUCUGCUGUAAAAACAUCCACUCCUACAGCUGCUUUCACUAUUCAGAAAUAAUUAAAUAUA